AAUAAUCUGAUGAACAGAAUAAACUGGUGAAUAUAAUAGAAUCAGGGGCAUAGAAAGGGAGUGAACUGACUAUUCUUCCGGGGGAAAGGGGUGUAGGGGAUGUAGUAAGAGACU